ensembl:lncRNA
AUGCUGUCUGCGUCGGACACCGGAGCAGAAUCAGAGCUCUCGGAGCCCAGAGACGAAUCCACUGAGCCUUCAUCAAACGUCUGCGAAUGCCUCGCUCAGGAGAGAAGCACCGAAUCGGACCGUUUGAAGCCUUCAUCGUCAUCCAGCUGUUGGUCCAUGUGUUCCCAGCCUGCACCAAAGGACGAUGAUUUCAGGGUGUGCCGGUGUUUCGGCUCAUCGGAACCUGCGUUCCCUCGUUUACCUCACUUCUCUCGUGACCUUAUUUCAGCUGUAUCUGAGUCUUUUUCCGAGUUACGCCAUAAUCGAAACACAGCGGCCUCCUCUUCUCUCACACAAGGAGGUGUUACACCUCAACCUUUUGGGGCCAUGUCAUCUGCUUCGCAGGGUUUGAUGGAGCCAUUUGUCACUGAGCCUCUUUCCAGCUCUGAACACAGUCCAGAACCGUAUCUAUUGAGUUCGUUUUCACCUCAGUCCGACAGCUUGGAGCGUCAUUCAGCUACAGCGCCUCUUCCAGAACUUUACAUCUCUGAAAGUGAGACGCAGGACUUCAUCCUGAGCCCUCACCAAGAUCCCCGGGAAUUUCAAUGGCCCGAAUACCACCAGUGGGAAGCGGGGGGGCGAAACGCCGACUGCCAUACACAUCAUUUCCCGAUGCGCGAUUCAGACAACGAGGUGACGCGAUGUCGUCUCGGCUCCAGAGAGGAACGAGCCACGCUGGACUGUGAGUCAGACGCGAGAGCACCUGCUGCGGCAGCCUGUGCGGAAGCCUUGGUGCCGGUAAAUGACGAGAGGCCAGGGAAUGCACAGACCACUGACUUGACCCCCCAACCACAGCAAAGCCCCAGCCCCGUCGAGCUGUGGCUGGAUGCAUGCCAGUAUCUGGCAGGUGAGGAUACGGAGGACCUGAACGUUUUGGACAAGGCGAGGUAUUCCGUGAUCCAAGGAGGCCUCGCCAGGGACUCGUCUUUCCCCCCGGGGGACACAAAGGUGUCAGGUUACAACCUUGACGAUAGCGAGGGGAUUGGCUGGUCCAGCGAUGACACCAUAUGUUGGGGGCCACCGGUUGAGAGGUGGUCAUCCGUGGACAGCUGGGCCAGCGCACUCUCAGACUGGAGUGGGAUUAUCGCGGCUCCGCCGGAGGACUUCGCGGCUGCCUUCACAGAGAUAGGGGCAGAGAUAGAUGCUCUGACACAGGCGCUAGCUGAGGUAAACACUCAUUUAGAAACAGACCCCCCCAAAGAAGACAAGGGUCAAGGGCCAGCAGUCAGGGCGCAAUCACAGCCACCCAUGGGCCUCCAGGAUCAGCAUUUAGAGGCGCAAAACCCGACCGAGAGCUCCAUCCUCUCUGGGCAGAGCUGUCGCUCCUCGUGCCCGGAGGCUGCAGGACCCGAGCUCGGAGACAGAGAGAGAUGUCAGAGCGUCGAAUCGUUGUGCGAUUCGACAGCCGGCGCCCAGGACGAAAAGGAGGCGGAAGAAAUCCAGAACAUCCGGGUUGAGCGCUCGGCGCACCGGCACUCUUCCGCCGGGUCAUCCUGGGAGACCGUGGCCGCUCCCGGAGGAGGCGGCGCAGAGGUGAUCCCUGGAUCCACUCCUUCCGCUGAUCUGAACCCUCCUCGAUUUGGCGAGCCAGACCGUUUCUUCAACAACAAAGUAGUUUCCAUCCUACUGAAUAUAGUAGAAGAUACCGAUUUGGAGGGACGAGAUACACCUGGAGAUCUGAUGAUUGAGAAGCCCUUUGGAGAUGAAGUGUGUGAAGUGACAGACAAACACAGUGUCUCCCAGCCGCGCUGGUCGACUGAGCGGGAAGUCGAAAGGAGCCGCGGGCCAGCUGAGGUUGAUCGGGAAGGAACUCUUCGUUUUCACGCCACGCGCGCUUCGGCAAACUCACACGUGCCAGGUGAGCACGCGGGAGCUGGCUCGCGUACCAAUGUUGGCACACGCGCGCCGCCUGACACUUUACCAGACCUUGACGAAGGGCGUCAGGUGGAGCCACGAUGGGCAAGUCCUAAGUUCAUAAUGCCCUUAGCCCCGCUCGGUAUCUCGGCCCUGGCACCCCACGUCUGUCGGACAAGCAGAAGUUUGGAAGGAGAUCAAACUGGUGCAAAAAGGUCCCUCAAUGACAACAGGGACCCCAGUUGUGACCGCACACAGGCCUGCGCUCACAGGCCGACCUCGGAGGGGAUCGCUGAUAUAAAAUCUUCGAAUGGUGAUGAGUUGAGUCAUGAAAAGGGAACUAAAAUAAAGUAUACUGAGAAGUCUUCAAAAAAGGGACAAGUGGACUUGAUCCCGAGAAGUAAAACAACAACUGAGGAGAUCCACGAGCUCAGCGGAAGACUCUCAGACCUGGCUGAUGCCCCAGCAGAUCAGUUCUUUGUCUCACAGAAGAAGCGCGUUGCAUUCAUCACUUUAGAUUUGAAUGACCCAUUUGUCUCCAGGGCUGCAAAACCCAUCGCCAAAGGCACACAGUCCGACUUGAAUCAGACGAAAGCUGAGAAGAUGCCACGCAAAACACACAAAACUACCUCGGAGAGCAAAGCACGCUCUAAAAAGGACAAAACAGCUGGUCAUUAUCACGGAACACAAGCUUGCAAGAAACAGGAGGCUUUAUCUCAUCAUGUUUCCGCCCAGCAGGUCUGUAAACAGCAAGAAACUCAUCCUCUCACCGGGGAAAACCACACUGGCGAGAAUAAUCAAGUCGGGCUGCUGGAUAAGGAGGCCAAAUUGGUGAUUGACGCUGGUGCGACAACUGAGAAGGCUCCGAGCAAACCACAUGGCAAGAAGAAGAAGAAAAACACCGGGCUGAAUGGUGUCGGGGAGCCACUGGUGGAGGUGGAGAACGGAGCGAAACCAAAGACAGCGAAAGGGAGGAUUGAAAUGUUUGAGGCCAAGCUGGGUGCGAAAGCUGUGAAAGCUCCAAAGGACGGCGAUCACUCAGAGGAGAAAAUGUCACAGCAACCAGAAGCCAAAGCUAGAGCUUCCCAGGGAGAAAAACCUCAACAUCACGCAGAUCACAAAGACCACCAGCCGAAGAAAUUCACCAGUCCGCCGAACGACGAUAUUAUCAAAAGACGACGGCUGUCAGAAGACAAGUUUGGGAAAUUAUCCAAGCCGGACGUUUCUACACAGACAAAGGGAGAGGAGCCCAAGGUGAACACAGGGGCAACUCGCAGGAAGGCGUUUGGUGACGUGGUCAAACCGAAAAUCCCCCCAAAGGAAGACCCCAAGGUGGUGCAGCCCAUUCAGACGGCUCCGGUGAGCGGGGACCCCCGGAGCCUGUGCCUGUGGUGUCAGCUUACGGCCGCCUCCUACCAAUGCACCGUCACCUGGAGCAGGGGGGGCGCUGUCCUGUCUGAGAGCAAGAGAAGUGCAGGGGAUGACAGCAGAGUGUCGCUGACCAUCUCCAAUGCUUCUCACAAAGACUUGGGCAAGUACCAGUGUCAGCUCACCAGUUCACACGGAUCGGUGACCCUGGACUACCUGCUCACAUACGAAGUUCUCUGUGAGAUUGUUGUUCCUCCCUCUCCGAACACAAUCGUAUCAGCCCCCCGUAGAAGACGGGAGCGAAGAAGAAGACGUUCACUGUUCCAAGUUGAUUUUUAG